CCGUAGAUAUUUUGGUUCAAG
rnacentral:sRNA from 1 species